rnacentral:pre_miRNA from 1 species
UAUGUGUGUCCAAAUUAUAUGUGUUUCUUUACAUGUAACCUGGCCACACAUAUU